UAACGGCGAGUGAAGCGGGAAAAGCUCAAAUUUGAAAUCUGUCAACAUUUCUUUUGUUGUCCGAGUUGUAAUUUCAAGAAGCUGCUUUGAGUGUAGACGAUCGGUCUAAGUUCCUUGGAACAGGACGUCAGAGAGGGUGAGAACCCCGUCUUUGGUCGAUUGGAUAUGCCAUAUAAAGCGCUUUCGAAGAGUCGAGUUGUUUGGGAAUGCAGCUCUAAAUGGGUGGUAAAUUUCAUCUAAAGCUAAAUAUUGGCGAGAGACCGAUAGCGAACAAGUAGAGUGAUCGAAAGAUGAAAAGAACUUUGAAAAGAGAGUUAAAUAGUACGUGAAAUUGCUGAAAGGGAAGCAUUGGAAAUCAGUCUUACCUGGGUGAGAUCAGUAGUCUCUUCGCGAGACUAUGCACUCUGAACCUGUGGUAGGUCAGCAUCAGUUUUCGGGGGCGGAAAAAGAAUAAGGGAAGGUGGCUUUCCGGGUUCUGCCUGGGGAGUGUUUAUAGCCCUUGUUGUAAUACGUCCACUGGGGACUGAGGGCUGCGGCUUCGUGCCG
rnacentral:rRNA from 1 species